CUAACUUAUUGGGAGAAAUAUGAUGUUGUAGACUCUACUGACUCAAGUGCUUAAGUUAAAAAUGACUGGAAAUUCAUGAAGAUGUUGUCUUUUUACUUAGAGAAUAGUCUAUUUAAUUUAAAAUUUAUGAAAUGUUAGUAGUUGUAAUAGUUUAAUAUACGAUAUUUGGGAUUUAAAAUGUUGUUGGUAUUAUGUUUCAAUUUUUGUUAUUAAACAUGUAAUGGUUCAUUUAUAUUUAGUGAUUUAGUGUUUUAA